rnacentral:rRNA from 1 species
UCAGAACGAACGCUGGCGGCAGGCUUAACACAUGCAAGUCGAGCGCUUAUUUUUAAUAGGAGCGGCAGACGGGUGAGUAACGCGUGGGAAUCUACCUUUUUCUACGGGAUAACGCACGGAAACGUGUGCUAAUACCGUAUACGCCCUGAGAAGGGGAAAGAUUUAUUGGAGAGAGAUGAGCCCGCGUUAGAUUAGCUAGUUGGUGGGGUAAAUGCCUACCAAGGCUACGAUCUAUAGCUGGUCUGAGAGGACGAUCAGCCACACUGGGACUGAGACACGGCCCAGACUCCUACGGGAGGCAGCAGUGGGGAAUAUUGGACAAUGGGGGCAACCC